ACAUCGCUCUCUGCAUUNCAAUUUUAUCAUAAGAAUAUAUAGAGAGUCGGGCCUGCCCAGUGACAUAUAAUGUUAAACGGCCGCGGUACCCUGACCGUGCAAAGGUAGCAUAAUCAUUUGCCUUUUAAUUGGAGGCUGGUAUGAAUGGCUUGACGAGAGCUGAACUGUCUCUUUUCAAAUUUAUAAAAAUUAGCUUUUAAGUGAAGAGACUUAAAUUUAACUGAGUGACGAAAAGACCCUAUUGAGCUUUAGUAAACUAGUAAAAUAUUGAUUUUUGUGCGCUUAAGUGCAUCUGUAAUUUAUUAGAAAUCUUUAGUUGGGGCGACUUAGGAGUAAAGAAAGCCUCCUUUAUAGUUUAUUUAAGAAAAUCAAGGUAAUCAAAUCAAAUUAUUAGAUCCAGCAUGUGCUGAUCAGAGGAAGAAGUUACCAUAGGGAUAACAGCGUGAUCUUUCUGGAGAGUUCUUAUUGAAGGAAAGGUUUACGACCUCGAUGUUGGACUAAGAUAUCCUGGGGGUGUAGAAGCUUCUAAUGGUUAGUCUGUUCGACUAUUAAAAUCUUACGUGA
rnacentral:rRNA from 1 species